rnacentral:rRNA from 1 species
GGUCAAGCUACUAAGGGUAGGCGGUGGAUGCCUUGGCACCAGCAGGCGAUGAAGGGCGUGGUAAGCUGCGAUAAGCCUCGGGUAGCCGCACACAGGCGUUAAUCCGGGGAUUCCCGAAUGGGGAAACCCGAUGCCGUUUGUCCGGCAUCAUCCCGGCCUGAAUCCAUAGGGUCGGGAGGCGAACCGGGGGAACUGAAACAUCUCAGUACCCCGAGGAAAAGAAAUCAACCGAGAUUCCCCCAGUAGCGGCGAGCGAAAAGGGAGCAGCCCAAACCGUUCCGAUGUGAUAGGCCGUAUCCGUUGUCGGAGCGGGGUCGUGGGGUCCUACCAGGGUCCGGUACGGCGGAUCCAGGGAGUUACCAACCUUCCUCUUAACCGAACAGCCUGGAAAGGCUGGCCGCAGAGGGUGAUAGCCCCGUAGGGUAAAGGAGAAAGGCUCCCCGGGUAGGAUUCCCAAGUACCACGGGACCCGAGAAAUCCUGUGGGAAUUUGGGGGGACCACCCUCCAAGGCUAAAUACUCGCUGGUGACCGAUAGUGAACUAGUACCGCGAGGGAAAGGUGAAAAGAACCCCUGUGAGGGGAGUGAAAUAGAACCUGAAACCGCCUACUUACAAGCAGUCGGAGGGCUAUGGUUCCGACUUCGGUCGGGACAAUGCCUGACGGCGUGCCUUUUGUUUAAUGAGCCAGCGAGUUACUCGUAUGCAGCAAGGUUAAGGGCCUCAGGCCCGGAGCCGUAGGGAAACCGAGUGUUAAUAGCGCGAUUCAGUUGUAUGCGGUAGACACGAAGCCGAGUGAUCUAGCCAUGAUCAGGCUGAAGCACAGGUAACACUGUGUGGAGGGCCGAACCUGUUAGGGUUGAAAACCUAUUGGAUGAAUUGUGGCUAGGGGUGAAAGGCCAAUCAAACUCGGCGAUAGCUUGUUCUCUCCGAAAUAUAUUUAGGUAUAGCGUCAAGAUAGUAUGCAGGGGGUAGAGCACUGAAUGGACUAGGGGGCACACCAGCUUACCAAACCCAAACAAACUCCGAAUACCUGUUAUAUGUUUCUUGGCAGUCAGCCCAUGGGUGAUAAGAUUCAUGGACGAAAGGGGAACAACCCGGACCAUCGGCUAAGGUCCCUAAAUCAAUGCUAAGUGGGAAAGGAUGUAGAAUUACCCAGACAACCAGGAGGUUAGCUUAGAAGCAGCUAUCCUUUAAAGAAAGCGUAAUAGCUCACUGGUCAAGUGAUUCUGCGCCGAAAAUUUGCGGGACUAAGCAUAGUACCGAAGCUGUGGGUGUAUUAUCUUCGGAUAAUAUGC